UCUCUGUUAGUAUAUCGGUUAGUACACGCGCCUGUCAUCCACAAAGACCGCGCGAAAGCGGGGUUCGACUCCCCGACAGAGAG
rnacentral:tRNA from 1 species